GACAGAGGAUGCAAGCGUUAUCCGGAAUGAUUGGGCGUAAAGCGUCUGUAGGUGGCUUUUAAGUCCGCCGUCAAAUCCCAGGGCUCAACCCUGGACAGGCGGUGGAACUACCAAGCUGGAGUACGGUAGGGCAGAGGGAAUUUCCGGUGGAGCGGUGAAAGUGCGGUAGAGAUCGGAAAGAACACCAACGGCGAAAGCACUCUGCUGGGCCGACACUGACACUGAGAGACGAAAGCUAGGGGAGCGAAUGGG
rnacentral:rRNA from 1 species